AGCCUACGGCUCACAAAAUGUCAGUGAUCGCAUCGGAAGUUAGAGGUAACAUCCAUUUUCUAUUUCUUCAAUCUUGACAUAUUGCAGGACGUCAUGACGAACGUUCCGACGCCAACUGGUUUGGAGAGCGCGGUGGCAGAGAGAGCAACUCUUCCACGUCGCCAUUCAAGCGUUUGUCGGAACUUAUUUGGACCCGUCGACCAUAAUGCUCUGAACCGCGAGUUGAAGGCGAAGCUGAAGGAAAUAUCUGAACGAGACCAGCGUCGAUGGAAUUUCCACUUCGAGACAGACGCACCGAUUCCCGGGAUUUAUGAAUGGGAAGGAAUGUCAGCGGAGUCGAUGCCUGCCUUCUACCAGGUGUCGGAAGUUGGCGGACGCAGAUUUGUUCCCGAGGAGAAGAUCAAUGUCUGAGAUGACUAGCCCCCAGCACAAUUCUUCUCUCAAUUCCCCUUGAAGAAACGAGGGAACCUUUCGAUUAACCACGCUGACAAAUGCUACCAUCUGCUACCAUCUGCCGCUUCUGCAGUUAAUAUUUUCCAUCUCGGGCCAAAAGAUGGAGUAACCCUCUCAAAUAAGCAACAUAUGUUUAUGCCAAAGUAACAAUGUAUUUAAAAAAGAAUAAUUCAAUUAACUUGUGUUAAUUUAUUACGUGUGAUUGUUUGAAAUGGCAUCUGUGAAAGACAAUUUUGGUGACUUUCUGCUCACUUAAUUGCAUUAGUGAGCCCUCAAAUGAUACUUAAGCUUAAUUUGCUACAUAGGUUAUCUGCCUUUUUCAAUUAUUUUCCAUUGGACAAAAGAUGUAACCCACAUGAUGGCCUAGGUUUUUUGCCAAAGUAACAAUGUUUUUAAAUUAUUUGAUUUCAACUAAUUUAUGUUUUAAUUCAAUUUAAGUUUUCUGCGAUUGUUUAAAUGGUAGCUGGGGAAACUAUUAAAACAAUGUAGUUUACA